CCACCCCCCCACACCACGUUUCAGCUCAAAUGCUUUCAUGCUACUAUUUGUUACACAGCUCUUGUUAACUUGGUUUUAUUCUAUUCAGCACACUUUCACAGUUGUUACUGGAUUAAAAUGUGCCUGGCCUGACAAUGAGACAACAGCACUGUUGCAAAUUGUUAUGCAACUCACUGUCUGCAAGGGUGACUUGUAGCUUGUUCUUUAUUCAGCAAGUGCCAACUGCAUGUUUAAUCAAUGUCACCACUCACUACAGUGUGCAACUGAGGCGACUGACAUUCCACUACUCAGAUUUGACUGGCUGCUAAGUUAUGCAACGCUCUGAAGAAUGCCUUGGAAUCAUUUGUCAGAUGCUUUGAAUGCAGGUGUGCAACACUCCUAAACCUACAGCACACACAAAGAACUUUGUUUUUUUCCUGGAUUCAAUUGUAAACAAAGGAACGGCUAUCUGCUACUAUUUGGAUUUACAACACAGUGGCAUGAGAAGAAUAUCAUCUUCAGAAUUCACAAGAUAAAAGAGCAUGUUAAAUGAUCAUUUAACUGGAAUGUCUUGGGAAAGAGCUACAUACACAGGACAAGCAGCCGGAGAUUUUUAACUGCAAGACUGAAUGGCAUAUUCAUGGUCAGCACAGAAAAUGUUUCACCUUAAGGAAGAAUGCAAGACUUAAAAAGGGAGCAAACAUACAAACAUGUGUUGGAUAUACAGAGCAGGGCUUUCUGUCCUAACUAGGGAUUGUUUCAGUGGAUAACUGAACAAAGGCCUGCAUCUAUUAGAAGAUUUUGUAAUAGUAUUGCAUCUUCAUCUUGAUUCAUCAAGAAAUUGUUCAUGCAUGUACACAAUCUCCGCUCUGAGUGAAAAGAACAGCCUUCCAUGAAGAUAAGGCUGUUUCUCCACUGCAGUGAGGAGUAAGCAGCAUGUCUGAUGAGAUUUUAUUCCUGAUGCAAUGUAGGCCAGAUGCCGGAACACUGGUGAAGAUAGUUGCAGGAAAAAUGAGGAGCUCUGCCAUCACAACUCUCGAAGAUGUAAAAAAGCAAGAAGAAAGUGAAGAAAAGGAAGAAUCUAUUUUAGCUAUGUUGGGAAUAGUUGGAACUGUGCUGAACCUAUUUGUGAUUGUUUUUGUGUA